ACUCUAGUCUGGCACGGUGAAGAGACAUGAGAGGUGUAGAAUAAGUGGGAGGCCCCCGGCGCCCCCCCGUUUCCCGCGAGGGGGCGGGGCGGGGUCCGCCGGCCUUGCGGGCCGCCGGUGAAAUACCACUACUCUGAUCGUUUUUUCACUGACCCGGUGAGGCGGGGGGGCGAGCCCCGAGGGGCUCUCGCUUCUGGCGCCAAGCGCCCGGCCGCGCGCCGGCCGGGCGCGACCCGCUCCGGGGACAGUGCCAGGUGGGGAGUUUGACUGGGGCGGUACACCUGUCAAACGGUAACGCAGGUGUCCUAAGGCGAGCUCAGGGAGGACAGAAACCUCCCGUGGAGCAGAAGGGCAAAAGCUCGCUUGAUCUUGAUUUUCAGUACGAAUACAGACCGUGAAAGCGGGGCCUCACGAUCCUUCUGACCUUUGGGGUUUUAAGCAGGAGGUG
rnacentral:ncRNA from 1 species